CAGCGCGCAAUUACCCACUCCCGGCACGGGGAGGUAGUGACGAAAAAUAACGAUACGGGACUCAUCCGAGGCCCCGUAAUCGGAAUGAGUACACUUUAAAUCCUUUAACGAGGAUCAAUUGGAGGGCAAGUCUGGUGCCAGCAGCCGCGGUAAUUCCAGCUCCAAUAGCGUAUAUUAAAGUUGUUGCGGUUAAAAAGCUCGUAGUCGAAUUUGUGUCUCAUGCCGCUGGUUCAUCGUUCGCGGUGUAAACUGGCGUGUCAUGGGACGUCCUGCCGGUGGGCUUAGCUCCUUACGGGGGGCGGCCCUAUACAAUCCUGCCGCGUUGCUCUUGAUUGAGUGACGAGGUGGGCCGGCUCAUUUACUUUGAACAAAUUAAAGUGCUUAAAGCAGGCUAAAAUUUUGCCUGAAUAUGUGUGCAUGGAAUAAUGGAAUAGGACCUCGGUUCUAUUUUGUUGGUUUUAAGAACCCCGAGGUAAUGAUUAAUAGGAACGGAUGGGGACAUUCGUAUUGCGACGUUAGAGGUGAAAUUCUUGGAUCGUCGCAAGACGAACAUAAGCGAAAGCAUUUGUCAAAAACGUUUUCAUUGAUCAAGAACGAAAGUUAGAGGUUCGAAGGCGAUCAGAUACCGCCCUAGUUCUAACCAUAAACGAUGCCAGCCAGCGAUCCGCCGACGUUCCUCCGAUGACUCGGCGGGCAGCUUCCGGGAAACCAAAGCUUUUGGGU
rnacentral:rRNA from 1 species